ACCUCGGUGGUGUAGUGGUAGCUCGUGUCCCCGUUAUAGAUGAAACGCGGGUUCGCUUCCCGCCCGAGGUC